rnacentral:rRNA from 1 species
GUCGAACGGUAACAGGAAGCAGCUUGCUGCUUUGCUGACGAGUGGCGGACGGGUGAGUAAUGUCUGGGAAACUGCCUGAUGGAGGGGGAUAACUACUGGAAACGGUGGCUAAUACCGCAUAACGUCGCAAGACCAAAGAGGGGGACCUUCGGGCCUCUUGCCAUCAGAUGUGCCCAGAUGGGAUUAGCUUGUUGGUGAGGUAACGGCUCACCAAGGCGACGAUCCCUAGCUGGUCUGAGAGGAUGACCAGCCACACUGGAACUGAGACACGGUCCAGACUCCUACGGGAGGCAGCAGUGGGGAAUAUUGCACAAUGGGCGCAAGCCUGAUGCAGCCAUGCCGCGUGUAUGAAGAAGGCCUUCGGGUUGUAAAGUACUUUCAGCGGGGAGGAAGGUGUUGUGGUUAAUAACCGCAGCAAUUGACGUUACCCGCAGAAGAAGCACCGGCUAACUCCGUGCCAGCAGCCGCGGUAAUACGGAGGGUGCAAGCGUUAAUCGGAAUUACUGGGCGUAAAGCGCACGCAGGCGGUCUGUCAAGUCGGAUGUGAAAUCCCCGGGCUCAACCUGGGAACUGCAUUCGAAACUGGCAGGCUUGAGUCUUGUAGAGGGGGGUAGAAUUCCAGGUGUAGCGGUGAAAUGCGUAGAGAUCUGGAGGAAUACCGGUGGCGAAGGCGGCCCCCUGGACAAAGACUGACGCUCAGGUGCGAAAGCGUGGGGAGCAAACAGGAUUAGAUACCCUGGUAGUCCACGCCGUAAACGAUGUCUACUUGGAGGUUGUGCCCUUGAGGCGUGGCUUCCGGAGCUAACGCGUUAAGUAGACCGCCUGGGGAGUACGGCCGCAAGGUUAAAACUCAAAUGAAUUGACGGGGGCCCGCACAAGCGGUGGAGCAUGUGGUUUAAUUCGAUGCAACGCGAAGAACCUUACCUGGUCUUGACAUCCACAGAACUUUCCAGAGAUGGAUUGGUGCCUUCGGGAACUGUGAGACAGGUGCUGCAUGGCUGUCGUCAGCUCGUGUUGUGAAAUGUUGGGUUAAGUCCCGCAACGAGCGCAACCCUUAUCCUUUGUUGCCAGCGGUCCGGCCGGGAACUCAAAGGAGACUGCCAGUGAUAAACUGGAGGAAGGUGGGGAUGACGUCAAGUCAUCAUGGCCCUUACGACCAGGGCUACACACGUGCUACAAUGGCGCAUACAAAGAGAAGCGACCUCGCGAGAGCAAGCGGACCUCAUAAAGUGCGUCGUAGUCCGGAUUGGAGUCUGCAACUCGACUCCAUGAAGUCGGAAUCGCUAGUAAUCGUGGAUCAGAAUGCCACGGUGAAUACGUUCCCGGGCCUUGUACACACCGCCCGUCACACCAUGGGAGUGGGUUGCAAAAGAAGUAGUGUAGCUUAAC